AGCCAUGCAUGUGUAAGUGCAUACCAGAUAUGGUGAAAACCGCGAAUGGCUCAUUACAUCAGUCGUAGUUUAUGGGACAAUAUGACAGGUGGAUAACUGUGGAAAAUCUAGAGCUAAUACAUGCACAAAAGUCCUGACGCAAGAAAGGACGCAUUUAUCAGAUCAAAGCCAACGUUUUCGCAAGAAAACACAACUGUGAUGACUCUGGGUAAAUUUUCGGAUUGCCCCGCCUAGAGCGGGCGACGUUGAUUGCAAGUGUCUGACCUAUCAACUUUUGAUGGCAGUCGAUAUUACUGCCAUGGUUGUAACGGGUAACGGGGAAUCAGGGUUCGAUUCCGGAGAGAGAGCAUGAGAAACGGCUGUCACAUCCAAGGAAGGCAGCAGGCGCGCAAAUUACCCAAUCCCCGAUCGGGGAGGUAGUGACGAGAAGUAGCGAUGCCGUAAUCUUUUGAUUCGGCAAUUGAAAUGAGAACAAUGAAAGAAUUUUAUCGAGAAUCUAUUGGAGGGCAAGUUCUGGUGCCAGCAGCCGCGGUAAUUCCAGCUCGAAAAGCGUAUGUUAAAGUUGCUGCGGUUAAAACGCUCGUCGUUGGACAUCAGGAAAUGGUUCGUGGACGGCCUAGAGUCGCUACCACGGAUUCACUCCUUUUUAUGCCAGUUCAUCGUUGAUGCACUUUAGUGUGUGUCGCGGUAGAAGGUCAAUGUCACUUUGAGAAAAUUAGUGUGCUCAACGCAGGCUUUAUGCUUGUAUAAUGCUGCAUGGGAUGACGGAAUAGGGCCUCGGUUCCGUUUCGUUGGUUUACGAAAGC
rnacentral:rRNA from 1 species